UGGGCCUAUAGCUCAGCUGGUUAGAGCGCACGCCUGAUAAGCGUGAGGUCGAUGGUUCGAGUCCAUUUAGGCCUAU
rnacentral:tRNA from 1 species